GGCCAAAUGAGUAGCAAGUGGGGAAAAAGAGAGAGCCAAGUGGUUAUCGUCACAGUUUACCUCCCCUUGCACAAUGAGGUGGCCCAGUAAUGCCGCUAAAUGGGAUUGCUACAGAUUGAAUCAAAACGCCGGAGAUUGCUAUUUAAAAGCCCCUGGGGGGGGAUUACUUGAUAAAGGAUCUUUCCAUUUUCAUGAAUGGGUCCCCUGAUAGGAUUGCUUUUUCCAAAUUUGAAUUUUUAUACUCUAGUUUUCAAAUUAUUAUGUAUUAUAAUGUAUAUUAAACCACAAACAAAUUAUAUUAUCACAUGGCAUAUAUAAAUGUAUGUAGAAUAUACGGAAUGUAAUUUCUAUAAUAAUCAUAGUUACUGAGACGCAGUGGCUAAGAAGUACGGCGGCGUGUGGCUGUUUAAACCGCUCCUCUGAGAGAGAAUGUUUAACAGAACACGGUGCCUUGCCUAUAAAUCCUGAAGAAAGCUCCCUUCAACAAGGGCAAAAGACCUCAGGGUAAUGAAAGUAUUUCAAAUAAAUAGUUAGGACCAACGAGGAAAUGACUUGCCAUUUGAAGUGUUAAGCUGCCUGUCAGGAAAAUUUAGAUUGUGGGGAACCACUUUGUAGAAAUAUUUUUUCAUUUCAUGAUUGCGCCUGAACUUUUUGGAAAAUAGAAGUCUAUGGGAGGAGUGAGAUGGAUAGACCUCCUUCCUCAACCUGUUCAGGUUAAAAUAGCUUAGGAGUAAAACGAGUGUACACAAGUUUGGGGGAAAUGAAGGGUCCACGUGACAGCUGGGACCAGCUGACGGGCAGUGUAUGUGCUGAUUUGUCUGGCGAUGGAGGGCUCCCACCAUCUGUACUUAUAUGUACAGUUGACCUUGAACAACGUGAGUGUAAACUGCCAAGCUCCACUUAGACACUGAUUGAUUUUUUUUUAACUUACAGUGUUGAUACAUAGAGUACAGUACUAGAAAUGUAUUUUCUCUUUCUUAUGAGUUUCUUAAUAAUAUGUUCUUAUCUCUAGCUUGCUUUAUUCUAAGGAUGCUGUAUAAAUACGUAUAACAUACACAAUAUGUAUUCAUUGACUGCUAUGUUCUCAGGAAGGCCUCUGGUCAACAGUAAGCUAUUAGUAGUUAAGGACUGGGGAAGUGAGAGAUAGACAAUGGUUUUUGACUGUGUGAAGGGUCAGCACCCUAACCCCGGGUUUCAAGGGGGAGAAGUAAGCGUCACCUGAGGGGUCUUCUUACAUUCAAUGAGCGCGGUGCCCCCAGUCACUGCCUGCUGCACCCAUCCCGUCCCUCUUCUCUUUUUCCGGAGUUUUGCUGUACACAGAUGUACACACACCAGCAGAGGCAGGUGCACACGCCCCACAUCUAAAGUGGACAGAGAAUCCGGAGACAGCCUAACCUCAGGCCUGGAGGUCAGCUGGAGUCACGUCAAGGCCACAUUUAACAUCCUUCGGAAGAGACCAACCCUCUCGUUUUACAGAUGAGGACAGUGAGGUCCUGCGAGGAUCUGUGACUCCCCUGGGGUCACACAGCCACUUAAGCCCAGCCGUGCCCGGUGACAGAGAUGCACUACACCACCAGUGACCAGCUGGGGAUGACAAAGCAGCCAAAACUCCUGAGCCAGAUGGGUGGUGUCACUGCUACGAGCGGACUGACGAAGACUUCAUCAGAGCUACUCCGUGUUGUGAAAAACCCUGUGAAUUAUAUGGGAUUUUAAGAAAAAUUACUGGAAAACAGUGCGACAGUUUCUCAAAAGGUGACAAAUCGACUUUCCACAUGACCUGGCAAUUCCACUGAAGGCACAUAAAAAAGAUUUGACCACAGACGACCACGUAGAAGCUCACGCACAAAUGUUCACAGCACCUUCGUUCACAGCAGCCAAAGAGUGGAAUCAGCUCCAAAGCCUAUGGAUGGAUGAAUAGACAAAAUGUGGCGCUUUUGCACAGUGGAGAAUGAUUCAGCCAUGAAAAAGAACAAAGUACUGAUACAGGCUAUAACACAGAUGAGUACUGAUACGUGCUAUGAGAUGGACGAUGCCUGAAAGUGCUUUGCUAAGAGAAAGAAAGCAGACACAAAAGUCCACAUGUUGUAUGACUCCAUUUAUGUGAAAUGUCGGAAUGGGCAAGUUGAUGCGCACUGGAAGUAGAUCAGUGGUCACUCAGGUCUGAGCACGGGGAGGUCCGGCGAGAAUGGGGGAGGUGACUACUCAUGGGUGGGGAGCGGUUUUGCGGGCUGCUGUUCUAACGUGAAAAUGCUCUAAAAUUACUUGCGGUGAUGGUUGCACAAUUCUGUGAAUGUGCUAGAAAUCACUGAAUUGCAGGCUUCGAAAGGGUGCAUUCUAUGGUAUGCAAAUUACAUUUCAAUAAAGCUGCUUUAAAAAAAAAUAACACUUACAAUUGAGUAGGAAAUAAUUGUCCAGGAUAUUUUCCCUGACUUUUCCCACCCCAAAUCCAUUCUCCAGUCUUACUUCGCUUUGUUCCCCAGGAAGCUGAUCCUAUGGGCUGUUUACCCACAGGCUCCAUCUGUGAGUGAUCAAAUAAUUUAUUCUCCAAACUGGGACACUUUUGAGAACGAACAAUGGAGUUGCAAUGGGCCAUCUGCUUCCUGUUCCCACCCUCCCGACACAAAACUCCAGAUAAACAGCCUGAAAGAGAAAUGUGAAGAGGGAAGUGUGGCCAGCACAGUGACACCGCUGGAUCGCAGACCCUCCUCCAGUUUCGGCAGACGUCUGUUUGUCCAGACAGCAAGUCCUGAUAGCAAGUGAUUUUGCUGCACCUUCCCCACAGGAUGCUCCAGGAAAUACAAUAAAACAAAUUUCUGCAAAUUUCGGCUGCUUUGGAGGAAAUGUGUGUAUAGUACAAAUUAUAACUUUCAUUCAUUACCAUUAACCUAAAACAGAAUUCAGAAUGUCUGCCUACAUGUAUAUAU